AGACUACGAAAUGCCGACCAAGUCACAAGGCCACAGUGAGCACGGUAGAAAGAUCAUUCCUGGACCCCCGAGGGCCUCUGAGUUUGAGACGCUGGCUGAGAUCAAAUGAUAAGAAUUCCAAUUUUUGUUUUCCUAAGUCUUUCAUCUGCUAAUCUACCCAACAUGAACCACGGGCCACAUGAAGGGCCAGACACAUUCUUAAGCGGCUCACAGCCUAGAGGUGCACAUCUGUGAUUACAAUGUGCAAGGUAAAACUGGAUCAACAGUUUCCAAGGACUGGCAUGUAAUAAAAUAUCCUCAAAACAACAAGCAAGUUGGGCGUGACUUAGACUUUCACUGCCCAUGUAGAAGGCACUGUACAUUCUUGCAGCAUCUCAGUUGGCCAGCAAGAGAGAUGGGGCCUCACUCUGGUCACCCAAGCUGGAGUGCAGUGGCACCACCUUGGCUCACUGCAGCCUCAACCUCUCGGACUCAAGUAAUCCUCUCACCUCAGCCUCCUGAGCAGCUGGGACUAUAGGCAUGCACCACCAUACCUAGCUAAUUUUUAAUUUUU
rnacentral:lncRNA from 10 species